CCGCCCCGCCCACAGCCCGCCCCCUGGCAGCCCAGCAACAAGCGGCCACCGCCCCCGCCCCCGGGGCGGGCAGCGGCAUCAUCCACCCCGGAAUGAAGCGGCACGGCAUCUGCGACACGGAUGGAGAGAUGCUACAGGACCAGGUCUGGUCCGUACACUUCCACACAUCACUACCAGUAUUCCGGGGGAAGUUGGUGCCGGAUUAAGCUGGUUCGAAACGUGGGGCGGCCCGUGACGCACUGCGCCCGUGAAUGUGCCCAUUGUACGGUGGAGACCCGGCAGGCGUUCCGCGCUCACAAGUCGGGUGGGCAGCAGAACUUUUCACUGACCGUGAGUGGGUCACAUUCUAGAAUUUGCCAUGGACUAAGUAUGAACUUCCAGGGAGACAAUAAAAUACGAAGUUGUAAGGUA